rnacentral:snoRNA from 1 species
AGCCAGCACAUAUGUCAAAUUCCCGGUUGACGUAAUACUUCAUAUCUUCCGGAGCCGUAAUUGUGCUAAUAUUAAAGUUCUCGAGCAAUUUCUUUCUCAACAUCU